rnacentral:rRNA from 1 species
CCUACGGGAGGCAGCAGUGAGGAAUAUUGGUCAAUGGGCGCGAGCCUGAACCAGCCAAGUAGCGUGAAGGAUGACUGCCCUACGGGUUGUAAACUUCUUUUAUAAAGGAAUAAAGUGAGGCACGUGUGCCUUUUUGUAUGUACGUUAUGAAUAAGGAUAGGCUAACUCCGUGCCAGCAGCCGCGGUAAUACGGAGGAUCCGAGCGUUAUCCGGAUUUAUUGGGUUUAAAGGGAGCGUAGAGGGGUUGUUAAGUCAGUUGUGAAAGUUUGCGGCUCAACCGUAAAAUUGCUAUUGAUACUGGCAGUCUUGCGUCCAGUUGCGGUUGGCGGAUUUCGUUGUGUAGCCG